rnacentral:rRNA from 1 species
AGUGAACGCUGGCGGUAGGCCUAACACAUGCAAGUCGAACGGCAGCACAGUAAGAGCUUGCUCUUACGGGUGGCGAGUGGCGGACGGGUGAGGAAUACAUCGGAAUCUACUUUUUCGUGGGGGAUAAUGUAGGGAAACUUACGCUAAUACCGCAUACGACCUACUGGUGAAAGCAGGGGAUCUUCGGACCUUGCGCUAUUGAAUGAGCCUAUGUCGGAUUAGCUAGUUGGCGGGGUAAAGGCCCACCAAGGCGACGAUCCGUAUCUGGUCUGAGAGGAUGAUCAGACACACUGGAACAGAGAAACGGUCCAGACUCCUACGGGAGGAAGCAGUGGAGAAUAUUGGACGAGGGGCGCAAGCCUGAUACAGCCAUACCGCGUGGGUGAAGAAGGCGUAAGGGUUGUAAAGCCAUUUUGUUGGGAGAGAAAAGCAGCAGGUUAAUACCCCGCUGUAAUGACGGUACCCAAAGAAUAAGCACCGGCUAACUUCGUG